rnacentral:rRNA from 1 species
GAUGAACGCUGGUGGCGUGCCUAACACAUGCAAGUCGAGCGAUUCUCUUCGGAGAAGAGCGGCGGACGGGUGAGUAACGCGUGGGUAACCUGCCCUGUACACACGGAUAACAUACCGAAAGGUAUGCUAAUACGAGAUAGCAUGCUUUUAUCGCAUGGUAGAAGUAUCAAAGCUUUUGCGGUACAGGAUGGACCCGCGUCUGAUUAGCUAGUUGGUGAGGUAACGGCUCACCAAGGCGACGAUCAGUAGCCGACCUGAGAGGGUGAUCGGCCACAUUGGAACUGAGACACGGUCCAAACUCCUACGGGAGGCAGCAGUGGGGAAUAUUGCACAAUGGGCGAAAGCCUGAUGCAGCAACGCCGCGUGAGCGAUGAAGGCCUUCGGGUCGUAAAGCUCUGUCCUCAAGGAAGAUAAUGACGGUACUUGAGGAGGAAGCCCCGGCUAACUACGUG